GGUCUUGUGCAACUCCCACUGCCAGAGCAUGAAUCGUUGUUGCGGCAUUGUAUCAAGGGAAGUACAUUAUGGCCGAAGGAUGCUGCCCUGACACCUCCUGAUCAGAUCAACCACUGGAGCCACGAACAUAAACUUUUACUAAAAAAUCCAACUGUUGCAAGUACUACUUCUGAAGAAGAAAUAUGGCCUAUCUGUAACGGGUGCACUGAAUCUAUCACCAUAAAAGAUGGUGCAUUUUAUGAAUGUGGAGAAUGUGAUUACAUUCUCCACGGAUACUGUGCCCACUUUCCACAAGAGAUGUCUGACCGUGCAGGAUAUAGACGCAAGAUAGUGGCAAUUCAACCCAGGGUCCAUGAUAUCUGGUCUUGCGCUCGUUGUAAAGGUUUUAGAAAUGGGACACAAAUGCGAUACACUUAUGAAGGCGAUUAUGCACAGAAAAGUACAAUUGAGCGCAAUUUUGACAGUGCUUGUGUUAUUCUACCUGAACGCAUCGUACACAAAGCUCAUCAACACAAAAGUCGUCCUAACUUCUUUUUUCGUGCAUCAGCUGGUGAAAACACUACUUGUUCAGCGUGCAACCAAACACUAGACGGGUUUGACAUCUGUUAUGCAUGUAAUGGUUUUGAAUGUUUUAGAUGCAUACAUAUCGAAUGUGCUCUUAAGCCACUUAGAGUGACACAUCGAUGGGAUCCUCACCCCCUUCACUUGAUAACUUCCGCAGAAGAAGUAAUAGAUCAUCCUCAUGAAUUCCAAUGUGAAUUUUGCUCAGAAGAGAUAGACCCCAACUAUUGGUUCUACCAUUGCAGUAUUUGUGAUCUGUCCUUUCAUUUUAAAGGAUGCAUCGAUCCGUUUCCCUACUCAAAGGUCAAGUUUGGGGCUACCAAUAUUAUGCUUGACGCUCACCAGCACGGCCUCACCUUUGUUCUUAAUAAAAAGAAACACCAACCAUGUCAUAGAUGCCAUAAAGAUACAUUUGGUAGGCCGGUCCUUGUGUGCAUACCAUGUAAUUUCGUGCAACACUCCCAGCCUGAGUUAUGCACUUGAUGUUAAUUUGUAAAUGUUCUGAUUGUUUGCAUGUAUUUUACAUUUUCACCUAUAUUAAAAUAUUUUCUUGCUUUGUUGUUUGCAUUUUAAGCUUAGUUCAUGUAGUACUAUAUAUUGAGAUUUCUUAGUUCAUCUUAUAAGUACUUGUAAGGGCAGCUUUCAAGAUUUUCGUAUUCGGGCCUGGUGUUUCCUCUGGGGAGAUGUAGUCACUGUACUUGUCGUAACUUCAUGUCUUGAUGUCUCUAAUAUGAUCAGUAGAGGUUCUUAAUUCUAUAGUCUUCGUAUAAGCAACAGGUAAGAAGCAGAAACAGCACUGCUUGCUGAAUAAUCUGCAAGUUCCAGAAUCAGCAACAUGUGGUAUGUUCAUAUUUUAGGCCUUUCCGGAUACAUUAGAGGGUGUAAGCUUUCAGUCUUGGUUGCUACUAGUCUUUUGCUUCUUCCACUUGUAAGCAGCUUCCAAGAUCUUCUUAUUCAUGGCCUCUGCUUCUUCCAGAAUGACGUGGUCGAUAUACUCCUCGUUACUGCAUAAUAUAUUGGCCUUGUUUGGAAGUUGUUUGACCAUUAAAAUAAGCUAAUAUUUGUGUUUGGUAGUUAGCGGAUUGAAAUAGAGGUUUGGAUCCAAAAAGCUAAUUUUGAAAAAGCUACUUUGAGGAGCUUUUUGGAUUAGCGGUUUUGGUUUGUGUCAGAAAAAACUAAUCAAUCAGCUAUCUACCAAACAGUUUUACGAGAAACAGCUAAUUCAAUCCGCUAGCCAAAACAUCUAAUUUAAUCAGCUAGUCAAAACAGCUAAUUCGAUCCGCUAACAGCUAACCGCUAACCGCUAAUUCCCAAACAGGGCCAAUAAAUCAGACGCAGCCAGAACAUGCUUGAUGUUAAUUAGAAAAUAAAUUGCAUAAAUAAAAUAUUGCUCUGCUUCUUAUUCUUGAUGUUGAUAAGGAAAUUUGAUAAAUUCUGGUACAUUCGGUCAUGUUUUUGACUUUGUAAUUAGUACAUUCUCACAUUGGAGACCCGACUGAUUUCAAAUAUUCAUUGAAAAAAUAAUAUAUAAUAUUUCAACUCGGUCUUUGUGAUUCCUGAUUGCCGCUAAAAAAUGGCUCUCGCGAUGUUUGUUUCAGACAAAGAUCUGUCAAAAAAAUUUAACAUAAGAAACUCUCUUAAUAUUAGCAUCUCAUUCUUGCCCUCUUAACAACUGUAUGUUAAAUGAAGUACACUUUUUUGUGGUUCUAAAUAAUGAUGUUAAUGUACCUGGAUGUUUGUAAUACCAAGCCUCAAGACAUACUAUAAUUGCAAUUGUUCUAAUUUAAACCCUGUUUAGUACUCAUUAAAAGAAAGAUCAGUGUGUGUUUGUACAAUGGGUACUUCAUUGUUUGAGCUCUCUAGUAAGAAAGCUUGGCUUUGGGCAGCCAUGUAGGCUGUAACCUAUUCGAUUUAGAGUAAAUUCACAGUGGAAUUCAUCCUCAUGAAUUCCACUGUGAAUUUUGCUCAGAAGAGAUUGACACAAACUAUUGGUUCUACCAUUGCAGUGUUUGUGAUCUGUCCUUUCAUUUGAUAGGCUGCAUGGAUCUGUUUCUCUACUCAAAGGUCAAGUUCGGAGCAACCAAUAUUAAGCUUGAUGCUCACCAUCAUGGCCUCACCUUUGUUCUAAAUAAAAAGAAGCGCCAACCAUGUCACAGAUGCCAUAAAGAUACAUUCCGUAAGCCAGUCCUUCAGUGUGCGCCAUGCAAAUUCGUGCAACAUGCCCAGCCUGAGUUAUGCUCUUGAUGUUGAUUUCUAAAUGUUCUGAUUGUUUGCUUGUAUUUUACAUUUUACCGGCCUGAAUAAAAAAGCUGCUUGCUUUGUUGUUUCUGUCUUAAGAUUGUUUAUGUAGUAUUGCUGUGAUUUAUCAUUUUAUAAAUAUACAUUAAUUUUGUUUGAUCAGUAGAGAUUUGUAUUUCCGACUAUAAUGUACUCAAAAAGCUAUAAAAGCCAUUAACAUAUAUAAUUAUGGUGUAAAUUUCAGAGUCAUGGCCAAAAUUUGUACCUAGUUCCACGAUGUUUGCAAAAAUCAAUUCUUUUUGAGCCUUAGGGGAAACGAGGACUAGCUUUAUAGCCCGUGCCAGGCACGGGCAUGUUUCAACUUAUUUUAUUGUAAGUUUUUAUGUCAAGUUAAGAAAUGAGUUAUAUUUUGUUUUAACUGUUUGCUUCCUUCACUUCAUAGUGUUAUUUAUUUAGUUAAAUAGUAGUAACUAAUAUAACAAAAACUUUAUAAAUGAUUGAAAAUUAAAUUAGCAUUGAACUUUUGAUGUCUAGAGAACUCAUUGCCCAUAUCAUCCUUCAUCAAAAAAUCCCACUUAACAGACAAAUUUAACAGACAAAUCCCACUUGGUUGGCAAAUUAAGUUUCGCCUGCAAACUCUUUGUAGGUCCUCAGGGCAUGGCUCUGCACAUUCAUAUGUAUGGUAUGAUCAGUAGUUAAGUUAACGUCGAGAUUACUAUAUAAUCAAACUUAAUUGAGGAAAUAUUAAAUACAUAAUUAUAAUUUUAAGAGAAACUCACAAUUUUCUUCUUAUAAUUGGAGCGGAGGAAAAAGACAACAAACAUAUACAAGAAAAGAUGCACCAAGAUAUAGAAAUGAGUAAUGUCUUAAUCUACUCCUCUGCAAUUUUAAGUUGAGCUUAUCAGCUUAUGCAUUAAGUAUGAAUGGCCUAACUAAAUCUACUUCAUAACAGACUACGUGUAUAUAAUUCUUUAAUUAUAUCAAUUGUAGUGCAGAACUAAGAUAAAUUCAAAUGCCAGAGCAGAUACAUUAUUAUCUUAUUAUUUUUAAUUAAGGGGCUGAUUAGUAAGUGUAAAUAGGGUUGAUAAUGAACCAAGUUGAAUCACAUAGUUUUAGCAGGCUACAUCAGCAUUACCUUAAUAAGUGGAUAGCAAACAACUGACAGGGAAUGCAAAAGUUUUGAUACGUAAAUAGCCAAGAGUACUUGUGAAGAAAAUAGACAAAAGUUAUUCUUAUAUUGUAGUUGGAGUACUUUAUUAUAUUCUUGACUUGCGCUUCUAUUAGGUGAUAUCUUUUUAACAUUCUUUACUUGUGUUCGUAAAUAUUCUCAAGUCUUUUUAAUAUUCUUCACUUGUACAGUGGCUCUGCAUUUUUAUCUACAUGAAAUUAGAAAGUGCACCAACAUUAACUUUGCAAAUUCAUGUGAAUACUGCAUGUAGUUUUUCUUUAUGAAUCUUUAAUGACAAAGCAGUAGUUAAAUUAUAUUCUUGUUUCAGAAUCAUGGUAUACAUUUCUUGCAAGUUUCUUCAGAAUCUCCAAGACCCUAUAUAACAGUGAAAUCUCUGAGACCUGAUAUCAAGGCGUGCUCUCCUAACUUCGUUUAUCAUGUUGCUCUCAAAAAUGAUGAUCUCUUCAGACUUAGCAAGCCAAGUUCAUCGUCAUCAACUGAUAAAGAACGAGGAUUAUCAUGCCCGUGAAGGUGAUCUCUGUUAUGGCUGUGGUUCACUCCUAUAUCAAUCAUCGUUUAUUUAUCAUUGUACCUACUUUGGUACCAAUGCUGAAGAAGAUGAUUGUGCUCAUUUUUUUAUUCACAAAACCUGUGCACAUUUACCCACAAAGCUUGAGCAUCCAAGCCACCAACAUAUGCUAAAAUUAUCUGCACGUCCACUAUCCUUUCCUAUUUCCAGAGACAAAUGUGAUGUUUGUGGCAUCACGUUGAAAUGGUUCACUUACUAUUACCGUUUCUAUAGGUCUGAAUUUCAAAUUUGUCUGGCAUGUGUUAUACCUUUUAAUAAAAUUACUAUACACCCUCCGUAUCAUCCUCACAAGCUAACCUUUCUAGCGAACCUAGCAGCUUUCCGAUGUGAUGGCUGCCAUGAAUUGGAUACUGACUUUUCUUAUAUGUGCUCCACAUGCCCCUUCUGGAUCCACCUCAAGUGCAGUCAUCUACCACCAUUGUUAGCCUGUGAUAUUCACCAUAAGCAUCCUCUUAGGCUAACAUAUUCUUUACCAGAAAAUUACCGUAGAUUUCAGCAGUCUUGCAGAAUCUGUAGACAAUAUUUGCGUGACCCUAGAGAUUGGCUCUACCACUGUCCAGACUGCAGAUUCUUUGCGCACAUCAAAUGUGCUACAUCACCUCCAAAAAGGUUGGAUUUCUUAUCUUUUGUGUAAGAUUUAUUUGUCUUUGAUCUAGUAUUUUGUUAUGUCAGUUUUCCCCUGCAUAUUACUCCCUCCAUCUCAUAUUAUGUGUCUUCUUUUGACUAUUUUAUAGUCAAAUUGACCAAAUUUUUACAACAAAUAACAUAAAUUAUAUAAUUAAUAAAAUUUUAUAAUUUAUAUCAUUAUAAAAUAUAUCUAAUCUACUGUAAAAUGUAUUUUUCAGUUUUCUGAAAUAAUUAAUAAUUUCUUUUUAAUCAUUGGUCAAAAUUUGGUCGAUUUGAUCGUACAAUAGUAAAAACAAGACACAUAAUAUGAGAUGGAAGGAGUAUAGGUCUUGUAGAAUAAAUACUUAUUUCUAGAGAAAAGUAUGUAAAUAUCUCUCUUUUUCAGAAACAAGUACUUAUUUUCGAGAAAAACUAAAUUGUAUUGGAUUAGUACUUGUUUUCAAAUUUCCAUUUGUUUGACCUUAUUCUCAUCUGCAGUCAUGGUGACUCCAAGUAUGCCAAUCAAGAUUAUUCAAUACAUAAGAGCAUCUCCAAGAGACUCUUCAUUUAGGCUCCUAACUUGAGAUUUGAGGAGGGAGAAGCAAAAUGUUGCUCCAAGAGACUCUUAAGUGGCUCUUAAAUCUUAAGAGCCUCUUGUUUCUCUCUCCUCUCUCCUCAAAGUUAAGAGCCACCACAUGGCUCCUAACUUAUUUUUUCACAAUAAAAAAAUCCUUCCCUCCAAUCAACUUCCAUCUUGCCCUCUCUUUUGUUAUAGUGUAGCCCAAUAUAUGAAUAAAAUAUGAAAUAGAGAAGAGAUGUAGAGAGUAUUGUUGGAGUUUACACUCUUAACUUUGUCCUAAAUUACUAAGAGCCACAUUUUUUAUAUUAUAUUUAGGAGCCAACAAGGAGGCUCUUGGAGAUGCUCAUCUCCAAGAGGCUCUUCAUUUAGGCUCCUAACUUGAGAUUUGAGGAGGGAGAGGAAAAAUGUUGCUCCAAGAGACUCUUAAGUGGCUCUUAAAUCACUAAGAGCCUCUUGUUUCUCUCUCCUUUCUCCUCAAAGUUAAGAGUCACCACAUGGCUCCUAACUUAUUUUUUCACAAUAAAAAAAUCCUUCCCUCCAAUUCACCUCCAUCUUUCCCUCUCUUUUGUUAUAGUGAAGCCCAAUAUAUGAAUAAAAUAUGAAAUAGAGAGGAGAUGUAGAGAGUAUUGUUGGAGUUUACACUCUUAACUUUGUCCUAAAUUACUAAGAGCCACAUUUUUUAUAUUAUAUUUAGGAGCCUCGGCUCUCGGAGAUUCCCUAAAUCAUUAUCAGGUCUUGUGCAACUCCCACUGCCAGAGCAUGAAUCGUUGUUGCGGCCUUGUAUCAAGGGAAGUACAUUAUGGUCGAAGGAUGCUGCCCUGACACCUCCUGAUCAGAUCAACCACUGGAGCCACCAACAUAAACUUUUACUAAAAAACCCGAGUGUUGCAAGUACUACUUCUGAAGAAGAAAUAUGGCCUAUCUGUAACGGGUGCACUGAAUCUAUCAC
rnacentral:lncRNA from 1 species